GCGAAUUGCAGAAACACUCUCAUACUAGUUUAACUUGGAGUCAUUGGAAUCAAGAAUGACUGUGUGAAUGUGACAACUUUCCUAUGUACAUAUAUAAGUACACUACAGUGAAUCUCCACAUCAUGUACAACCACAAGACUGGGACGCUAAUUAGAAUAAGAUGGAUUCCAUGUUUGCAUAAAUACGUCAAAAUAUACUAUCAUGCAUAACUAAAAACAACAAUGAAAGAAUGUGUUCUUUUCAUUCUCCACAUUCAAAUAUUUAAGUCUUGUCAAUUUUAACACCUAAUUAUUUCUGGAAUUGGUCUACACGAUGUUCAUACCCAACCUAUCAUCCUGGAUGACUGCAAUUGCUUCUAGUUUUGCCCACCAAAUCUAUUCUCAAUAUUGUUUCUCUGCAAACCUCAAAUCAGAGAGUAUUACUGUUUUAUUCCAAGGGAGGUUCACUGUAGAAGGCCCUUACUCACACUUCCCAGCUCCUUCAUGUCUUGGCUUCUCUUCAUUCCUCCCCAUUUCUGAGCUUCCAUAUGAUGGAGCCACACUCAACUUUGCUGAGUCAUUCAGACAUGUCAGGUUUUCUGUCAGUUCUAAUCUGAUCACAUUGUCUGCCUCAGCUUAACAAGCAUUCUUCCUCUCCCUACUCAUCUACUUAAGCUUCCUUAUUUUUCAGGUCACCAGUUAAAUGUCAUUUGGAGGAAAUACUUCCUUGAACAACUGAUGUUAUGGAGUGGAUGUAGCCAGCAUGUGUGUGAUAGAGGACUCAGGCAGAAUUCUGAGGAACAUCAGUAUGUAAGAGGACAGAAGAGGAAGCAGAGGCUGCAGAGUAAAUUGCAUAGGUUUCAUAUAUAUUUUUACAGCUCCUUGCACAUACCUAAUUUUAACAGUCAACAUCCUAAUCAUUUUGGUUCUUUCUUGUUUAGUUGUUCAUAUUUCUUAAUGUGUCAUAAGCUUUUUAGACUCACUAAUCCUCAUCAUUGUGUGGAGCAAGGUACCUGAUGUAUAAUACUUGAAUAAAUACCUGUGGUGUCCAGCAUGUAUUUAAUAUGUUCUAAGACUCAUCCCAGAACAACUUCUAUUGGUUAUGCACAUAUUUGAGUACUGUCCACUUUCACAUAGGGAAAUAAACUGUUUUUUUUUGUUUUUGUUUUUUAAGUAAGGGUUAAUGCUAAGUUUAAAUGGACUAAUAAAAUAAAAAUUUCUAGGUUAUUUGCCUA
rnacentral:lncRNA from 1 species